GGGGUCCCCGGCUGGGAUAGUCUUCGAUUGGUUCUGCCGUGGUAGGGUGUGCGUGAGGUGGAAGAAGGGCUGUUCCUCCACGGCACGGUGGAGGAGUUCUGAAGUCCUAAAGUUGGGGCAGGACCUGCAGCAUGGUCGGAGAAGGGGCAAGAGGCCCGGCGGGAAGAAGCAGCAAGAGUAAGACAAGUCGUGGAAUUAAGGGAAGAAGCAGAAAAGUUCUAGAAGAGGACUGGAGAAGUAGAAGGACUACAGACCCCAUGAUGCACAUGGAAAUGGGCGUAAAUCUGCACGACUUGUUCCGGGGCAUGCGCAUGUGUAAGCGCACAAUAAUCUCUUAAGAAUUAAAGAAACCUUGUAACAAAGAAAAGUAGUGAAGAAAAGCCUUAAGGAAAAGAGAAGGAAUGUGUGUAGUCCCUCUGCUUAAGGAAAAGAUAGAGGGUGGGAAGAUCUUCCUUCAACAAUUUAGAUCAACAUUUGUUAGGUAUAUGUGGUUUGCCAGGAAACUGCAUGUGUGUUGUGGACCAUAUGUGUUGAAGAUGCAGUGAUCAAAAAGACUUAGUCCCAGCUAUUAAGGAGAUCACAGUUUGGCAGCAAAUUAUUAUAGAAUGUGAUGGCUGUUCUAACAGACAUAUAAAGGAAGUGCUAUGGAUGGAAGCACAGAGGAAGAAGAGGUUAAUAGUGUCUAAGAACCUAGAAGGGAUGAAGAUGAAAAUUGAGAUUUGAAAGGUGAGAAAGUCAUUAAGACAAGGAUGACUUAAAGGUAUUCCAAACUCCUAAGAAAUACAGGGAGUUUUGGUGGAUGCAGAAUGAUUGAGGAAGGCUGUGAAAGUCUUCUCUUAACAAAAAUCUCUUUCUGUAAUGGUUGCUUGUUUAUGGGAUGAGAAACUAGGGGGUCAUUUGCUUGCUUAAAGCCUCUGGCUUCUCCUGAUGCAACUUCCAGGCCAGUCUACCUUCUCUUCUCAAAUCCCCCAGCUUUUGCUUCAAGUUUACUUCCAGCCUGGCAAGGAGUGAGUCUUCUGAGCACAACCACCCAGUGUCCAAGCAGGGCGGGAACACCUCCUUCCUCAUCUCUCCCACACAUACUCCUUCCAUACCCACCAAGAAGAAAGGCAGCCAGGAAGAGUGGACAGGUCCAGAACCACAGAGGGUGAUGAACAGAUGCAGAAGUAUCAAUCCUGAGGCUAAAGAGUAAUUGGGCAAAGUUUUGGUGAGACACUCCCAUUGCCACUGAUGAUAAGGAAUGUUUUCUCUUGAAAGGCUUAAAAUUGGUGGAAAGCGGUGGCUCACGUCCGUAAUCCAAGCACUUUGGGAGGCUGGGGCAGGUGGAUGGACUGAGCUCAAGAGUUCAAGAUCAGCCUGGGCAACAUGGUGAAACCCUGUUUCUACAAAAAAUUUAAAAAUAUUAGCCAGGUGUGGUGGCACGUGCUCCCAGCCUGGGCAACACCUCCCAGUACUUGGGAGGCUGAGGAGGGAGGAUAUCGUGAGCCGUGGAGGUGGUUGCAGUGAGCCGAGAC
rnacentral:lncRNA from 1 species